AUUUUUUUAACAAACAAACAAAAAGGAAAACAAAACCAACGACUCUUUGCCCUCUUAGCCCAUGACCUCUCUGUGGUCGUGGUUAUGUGGGGGUUCUCUCUUCCUCCCUUCACAUACAACUUCUUGAAAGAAUAUUCUCAUUGGUUUUGAGAUCCUGGUGUCUCUGGAUACCAGUGAGUCCUCAUCCCCACCCUCACACCCACCCAGUGACGCCUUUUCUGUUAUCUUUAUCCCUUGCCAUUACACAUUAACCUUGGAAACCUCGCUGGCUUUCUGCCUGCUUCCCUGCCAGCCUGAGGAACCCUUUCUCUUGCCAGACAUUCCUUUCUCAGGAUUUCCCCCUCUAUCGACCAUUCUUUGUUUGAUACUUUAUCUUUAAGCAAACUCAUCCAUUCUUGUUAUUUUACUUAUCUCCUCUACCCGAAGGUCUGGGCCACCAUAAUUUCUCUCCUAAAUUCUUAUCUAUCUCCACCUGGAUUUCCUCAGGCUCAGCAAAGAGUCAAAGUUCAGAGCUGUCUUUACAGGUCACUGCCCUGUCCUCUUUGUUGAAGCCAUUUUGUUUGUAUAUGGUAUAAAUUUUUCCUGGUGGAACAAUCUCUAUACUUAGGCCUUAUCUUAAUCCAAUGAUCGUGUCUGAGCUCUAACGCCUUUCUGGGUUUAAUUGUAAGCUCAAUCAAUUUUAUCUAGGUAUGUUGCCCACACUCACAGCUAGACAGACUAAUGGAAGGGUCUGUAGUACCUCUGUGAUGCUCAUUCUUAUGUUCCCAUGUUAGCUGCUAGAAGCUUUCUGAUAUCAAGCAAGAAGGGAGAAGAUCGGUUGGCAAAUGCCAAUUGAGUCCACAACUUUUUACAGGGAAAAUUUCCAAAAAGCUCCACCUAGAAAUCUUGGCAUAUGUAGAGGAGACCAGAGGAGUGUUACACAACUAUCUUGAUCGACCAAAGACACAGAGAAAUACAGUUAAAGGAAUUUGAGCAUGAUGCUGCUCCAAUAUAUAAUGAUUCUAGUGGCCAAGAGAAAAUUCAUGAUACAUAGAGACAGCUGUUGCACAAUUAACAAUAUCCACAGAGAUCCUCUUCUUUCUUUUCCAUGUUUGCUUACAAUAAACUCCUACUAAGACCAGCAAAUGUAAAUGUAAGUAAAUGAAAAAUUAAAUUGAAUUCCUACUGAAUAUGGUAAUAUGAAUUGAGGCAUUUCCUACCAUUGUCGUUGUCGUCAUCAUCAUCAUCACUGUCUUCCUCCUUGUUAUUGUCAUCAUCAUCAUCCUCAACAACAACAACAUGGCCUCUUACUUAAGGGCACAACUGUUGCUUAGUCUGCUGCUACUAUUUUCCCUGUUCAUUAAGUCACUCAUUCAGAAUAAAAGCACUGAUGAUGGACACCAUGUUACACGCUAUGGAUGAAUGACUAUGACCUUUGUCUUAAGUCUGAUCAUUACACAUAGCAAACACACAUCCAGUUAGCACAGUAUACCAUAGAAAUAUGAAUAGACACUGUGCAGCUCUUCAACAUAAAUAAAUAACCAUGACCUUUCUCUUCAGGGACUUACCGGUUGAGUUGAGCAGCCCAACACAGAAUGAGUGUCUCUCGGUGCAGCACAAUAAGCUACACACUAGAGAUGGGUAAGAGAAUUGUAGAAUCAGAGAGAAAGUCCUGAAAUACACCGGGGAAUGGCUGAGAAGACUUCACUGGAGAGGAGAUGUCAGUAGAGCUGUAUAAUGCUCUACAGCCUAUAAAUAACUGCAUCUAGAAACACGAAUCUCAUAAUCUGGAUAGAAAGGGAAGUCUUGAGAGGAAAACAAAGAAAGAACAUGUAAUAGAAGACCAAGGAACUGCUCAUCGGUCUUUGCGUCCACGGGCAGUUCGGACUUGCACGCCCCAAGGUCAAGUUCAUGGAGUCAGCUGUACUCUGUUCCUGGGCUGACUAUUCCUCACCAACUUUCCUCUACACUGCUGCCUAUGUUUCCUAACCGAAGACCCUUAAAGCUUUGCUAAUUGCUCACUGAACACAGUGACAAGGCCUUCCUAGUUCCCAGCUCAAAUCUUCAAACCGAUGCCUCUCAUGCUUCCUCAUCUCUUUUAGUCCAACACUUAGGAAACUCGUCACCUGUCACCUUUAUGACAUUCCUCUCCUUGCCCCUCCCCCACCCCAGUUUGCUUCCAGUUCCCAGAAUGUUCAUCCUGAAUUAACCUCGCCCUUAUUUCCUCUAUGUAAUUUACGCCUCUCUUCUAUUGCUUUCACGAGGAUUUCGUUUCCUGCAUGGUGACUUGUGUCUCUACUGAGUUGAGACUCUCCUCUUCCCCAAAAGCCAUGGCAUCUCUUGUGUUCUUUACAGAGUGAUAGCCUGUGUUACAGCCACCUGAGAGUUUGUGAGCACUGCCUUUAAAUGUUCCCACUACAAGGCUCCUAGAGAGCUGCCCCAGGAGCCGGCCUUCCUAACAAGUUCCUGGGGUUUGCAGCUGUUGCUGCUGACACAAGGCUGACACAUUUGAGAAACACUACUUGCCAAAAUACAAAGAAGAGUGGAGGUCAAAUGUAGAAUCCUCUGUCUGGGUGUAGCAGAGAAGACAGGUUUUAUAGCGUGCUGUUUAAACGUGGAAAGUCAUGUUUGGUUUCCGCAUCCCUAGCUUAAUCUUUGAUCAAGCAGCUAACCCUUCGAAGUUUUCACUUCCUGGUCAGACAGCUGGGGCCAUCCUUAACUCUGUUAGAGGUUUGUUCUGCAAGGCCAAAUCCAAAUCCAAAAGGGAUCAUGCUACAAAAUGUUCUGGAAAUGCUUGCUACUAAUCCUUACCUAUGUAUUCCACACGUUUCCUUUAAAAGAAAGGGUUUUUUUUUUGUUUUGUUUUGUUUUUUUUGUUUUUUGCCCAGCUACAGCAGUUUAUCUCAAAACAUUUUCUUGGACUUUUGACUAAAGAACAUUUCCUUUGAGAUUAAUGCAAUAGUAAUUUCCAUUUCAUUUGAAGAGGCUUUGAAAAGUAAGGAAUCAGGUACAUCAAAAUAAUUAUUUUAUAAAGGAGCUAGCAUUGAAAAAAAUAUAAUGUAUAAAACCAGGUUGCUGAAGCAAAAUGUCAUCUCCCACUGCUUUGUCAGUCCAAGGCAUUUAGUCGUUGCAGGAACAUUAUAAAACAUAGUUCAAUUUUCUUUAUUGUUACUUUUCUUGGGGGGGGUUGGAGUUAUUUUUUUUAUUAUGGAUUUUAUGAUAAAUAACUGAGCUUCAACAGCACUUUUGAAUUUGCUAGACAUUAAAACAAUAGAGAAAGACCAUCUUAUAAAUUGAAACUCACAUGUGUGAACACUAAAUGCUGGGAUUUGAUUUCUUUGUUUCUAUAGAAACAAAAGAAAAUUGAGAUUAAAAUAAGCUAAAAUGGAAUGUGUUUUAUGAAAUAGAUAAAGGAGCUUAUUUUACUUGUGGGCUGUGCAGUGUGGUAAAAAUUUUUACAUUUAAAAUCCAAGCUGUCUUUGGACCAUUCUGCCUUAUUAUAAGGAAAGGGCCAAUGGAAUGGGGGUUGGGCUGGAGACUCCAAAGUAGAGGUUCAGUGUAGGAUGCCAUGCUGCUAUGGUGAAUAGGUAGUUUGAUAUCAGCAGAAUAGCCAAUCUUUUUGUUGUUUCCUUCUUCUUAGAGACAUUUCAGUGGCUGGCUGGAUAAGGGGCAAUGAAAACAGUCUUCAAUGUAAAAACCAAGGCCAAUAACUUCUGUGGUGUUAAAGUCUUGGAAACAGUUUAGCCAAGACUGUUAUCAGUGAUAAUGAGUCCUUGUGUUGCUAAAAACAGACCAACAGCCAGGUAAUAGUGGUGUAUUUCUUUAGUGUCAGAACUUGGGAAGCAGAGACAGAUAGAUCUUUGUUCAAGGCCAGCUUCAUCUACAGAGAGUUCCAGGACAGCCAGGGUUACACAGAGAAACCCUUUCUUGAAAAAGAAACAACAACAACAACAAAAGAAAACAAACAAACAAAAGUAGUAAAACCAUAACAAAAGACAGACCAGCAGCAGAAUAUAUCAAAGAACCAGCGUUCUCUGUAGCAAUGCAGAAGAAAGAGAACCAAGUGAUGAUGCCCAGGGAAAGAGACCAAGUCUUGUGGGAUACAUGGUGCUGUUUGUGGAGGACUAAAGGGGUGGGGAGAAUCAUCUCAACUCAAGGUCAUGUUCAGGUGCAUGUGUAGUUGGGGUGCUGUCCAUGUGUGUGGAGACCAAAGGGUAACCUCAGAUGUUAUUACUCAGGAAUACUAUUCACUUCGCUCUUUGAGUCAGGGGACUCUAUCUGACAUGGCAUACUCCAGGUAGACUGAAAGAACCCAGAUGCCCCUCAACAGAGGAAUGGAUACAGAAAAUGUGGUACGUUUACACAAUGGAGUACUAUUCAGCUAUUAAAAAGAAUAAAUUUAUGAAAUUCCUAGGCAAAUGGUUGGACCUGGAGGGCAUCAUCCUGAGUGAGGUAACCCAAUCACAAGGGAACUCACACAAUAUG
rnacentral:lncRNA from 1 species